UACAUACUUUUAACAGUUAAAAGCAUAGCAAAAAUUACUCCUAAUACCACUCCUCAAAGCUAACUACCCAAUAGUUGGAAAGUUUUCUUCUCAUUCUCUCUCUCUCUCUCUCUUACAUCGUAUCCUUACAUACUGCUUUUAAUUUGCUUCCUUUCACUCAAAAUCUGUUUCAGUAUUUAUAAGUCAUUAUAGACAUCGUUAUCGUCAUGGCAACAAAGUAUUCCACUGGGUAUAUGUAAGAUAAUUUACAGGACAAGUGGCCCAUUUCUAAAUUGGAAGGUUGCUUCCAAUUUUUCUUCAGUAUACAUUUAUUAUUCUUUUAAAAACAAGUGCUUUACUUAUGCCAGAGAUAAGCCCAGCUUAACAGUAAUGGAAGAUUAAGUAGUCACCCAAUUUUUCUAAACUAGAAAGACUAAGCUUCUGAAAGGUAUUUAUGUUCAGUGGUACUAAUGAUUAAAAACAAAUUAAUAAACUAAAUUCAAGCCUAGAAACCUCUAAGCUUUCUAAUUCGGGUAGAAAAAGCAGAGGGAUUUAUAGUUUAAUCAAGAAAAUAAUGAGGAAAUGGAGGGAUAAUCACUUAGACCUAGAAUCAUUCAUCUAUCUAACUUGUGAAAAUGUGUGUGUGCAUGUGUUUGUGUGUGUGUGUGUAUUCAGCUUUCUGGAAAGAUGAAACAAUAAAACAUUAUUUGAAAAGCUGAAGCAAUGAACAUAGAGCAAAGUACUGCCUGUAUCUUUGAAAAUCUGAAAUGCUAUUAUGGAGAAAAAUAUUAGCAUCUGGCUUGCCUGAUGUAUUAAUGUAUUAAUAACAGUACUAAAAUAAAAACUUAGAAACUCCAUCAUGGAAAUUAGGUAACAACAAACUUGUUUAAAUGAGACAUUAAUGCAGAUACUUCAAGGAGGACUAACUAAUGCAUGUGUUUUAAGACAUUUUAAAGAUAAGGGUUUGCUUUCAUAAAACUAUAUUUUCUUGGCCAGGCGAGGUGGCUCACGCCUGCAAUCCCAGCACUUUGGGAGGCGGAGGUGGGCAGAUCAUCUGAGGUCAGGAGUUUGAGACCAGCCUGGCCAACAUGGCAAAACGCUGUCUCUACUAAAAAAUGCAAAAAUUAGCCGGGCAUGGUGAUGCACACCUGUAACUCCAGCUACUCAGGAGGCAGAGGUAGGAGAAUCACUUGAACUCAGGAGGUAGGGGUUGCAGUGAGCCGAGAUCGUGCCACUGUACUCCAGGCUGAACGACAGAGCAAGACCCUGUCUCAAACAAACAAACAAACAAACAGAAAAACAAACAAAAAACUAUAUUUUCUCAAGUAUAUGCUCUAUUGAAUUGUUAUUCAGAAAUAUUUUUUAGUCCAAGAAGAUUGUCUAAACGCUGUCAGUGUAGCAGUGUAGUUGGGUAUGAAUAUUUGCAGGUAAUAUUCUGCAAAUAUCUAGAAUGCCAGAUAUCAAAUCUAAUUGAUGUGACUCAGUUUGAUUCAUUCUCAAAAUAUUCUGAUUCACUUAAAUAAGAAAGAGGAAAACAAAAGAGCAAACAAAAGAUGAAAAUCAAAUCUUGACAAGAACUACAAUAACAAGUACAGUCAGAGCAAUUUUUCCUGGUCUUAAAAUGAGAAGGCAAUGGUAAGCCACAUUUAUUUUUUGCUCUAAUUUGCAAUUCCUCAUUUAAGAAAUAAUUUCACAUUUCAUUUCAAACCAUCAUUAUAAAUAUUCAUAUCUCUUGUGUGGCAAUUUGGAAUAGAGUAGGGUGGUGGGGGUGAAAUAAAAGCUUUAACUCAAUAUUAAAAAUCAUGUUUUUUAUCACAAGGCUUUUCAAUUUCAAAACACUAGGUGAACAUCUUUAUUUACCCUUAUAACUUUCAUAGCUCAAUGCAUGUAGUUAUAGAAUAAGAAAACUCCAGCCAGGCGCAGUGGCUCAUGCCUGUAAUCCCAGCACUUUGGGAGGCUGAGGUGGGCGGAUCACUUGGGGUCAGGGGUUCGAGACCAGCCUGGCCAAAAUGGUGAAACCACAUCUGUACUAAAAACACAAAAAUUAGCUGGACGUGGUGGCACAUGCCUGUAAUCCUAGCUACUCGGGAGCGUGAGGCAGAAUUGCUUGAACCUGGGAAGUAGAGGUUUCAGUGAACCGAGAUCACACCACUGCACUCCAGCCUGGGCAACAAAGUGAGACUCCGUCUCAAAAAAAAAAAAAAAAGAAUAAGAAAAUUCCUUUGGGAAGAGGAGGGUCAGAUACACACUAGCAGACUUAAUUAAAACUCAUAUUGUCUUAUUUUCCAUUUUUCUAGCCCACCAAAUUAUAUUGACAAUGCUUACUUUUCCUAGAAAGGAAUUUUACAUUUUUGGUAAAUGUCAGUUUUGUACGUUUCCUUAAGGGGUAACUAUUACUAAAGGCUAUUUUACACACACAUAUGCGUGCACACACACACACACGGGAUUCUCAGAAGAUAGUAGUUUAUGGCUAUAUUCCAACUCUUCCAUUCUGCACAUGGCUUUCCCAAGGGGACUGUUUACUUUAUAAUUAUGCUGUUAUGGGCAACUGCUUUAACCAGGUGCAGUGGAAAUUUUUCUUCCUUUCAUGAUUGCUAAGCCAGCCACCCCCUCACACAUGUGGCUGCACAUGUUUCUGUGAACAUCAAUUUGAUCGUACAUCUUCAGAUGUAGUUCUUGUCCUUCAUGUCUUUUCACGCUUGAUGAUCUUUGGUUUGUUUCCUUUCUUCCUAUGAUUUCUAGUGCUAUCUCUGUAUGAACCAAAGGUGCCCAAUUCAAAUUGCCAACCAUAUCUCUGUCCUGAAUACUCAGAUACAUGUAUUAAUAUCCAAAUGUCCCUUAAUAUCUUAACUUCCAUCAGACAGCUCAAACUCAACAUGUUAGAAUUUUAUAUAUUACACACAUACAAUAUCUCCCCUCUCCUUUUGUUUUCACAAUAACAUGGCUCUUUUGCUAUAUCCUUAUCUCAGCGAAUGUCACCUUUAUUUAUGUAGUACCUAAAAUUAAUCUGAAAGCAUAGCUCCAUCUUCCUUGUCUCUUACAGCCAAUUAAUUCACCCUCCUUAACAUCUUUGCGAUCUUUUUCUUUCCCUAUAUCAUAAACGUACAACAGAACCUUGUAGAAUUUUGCUUACUUUACUGCCAUAACCUCCAAAAUAUUCAUUUCCUUACAGCGCAGCUCUUUUCCAAUUUAUUUUCAUACUCUACUCAUCCACAGUGGUCUUUCUAACACACAAACCUUGGAUUCUAAAUUUAGCUAACAUUCCUCUGAUUCAGUAAGUUCCUUGAGUUUACCACAUUUGAUUCAACUUUGUAUCUCUAAUUUCUAGAUGAAUACAGGAUAAGAGGAAGACUUACUAAUUCAUUCUCUUAUUCAUUCAUUCUCUUUCUAUUGAACACCUUCUGUGAUCCAGGAACCAUGACCUAUACGGGGUAUCAGAUGUAAAUAACACAGAUGAAGCCCCUGUUUUGUGAAAAGAUCAUGUGAUAUGACAGAAAGUAAACAGAAGUGGCUAUUUUACAUAGUUUUAUCAGAGAAGGAUCCUCUUUUGACAAAACAUUGGGGUUGGACUCUUAAGGGUGGGAAGGAUUCAGUCUUGAAAAACAAAAAGGAGACAGUGUAUCUGGAGCAUGGUGGGCUAGAAGGGAGGUUGCAGCAAGGUCAGAUUGCCCAGAUGGGAACAAGCUAGAUGUCAGAGGCAUUCAAUACACCUUCAUUCCCUUCCUGGCUGAAUGAAUAUAAAUAACCAGGUGGGGAGCUUCUUCAUUUUUUGACUUGGUCAGCUAACAUAGCAGUCCUCAACCUUGUUGGCUCCAGGGACCAGUUUCAUGGAAGACAGUUUUUCCACGGACGGGUUUCCGGGGUUUGGUUUUGAGGUGUAAAUGUUCCACCCCAGAUCAUCAGGUAUUAAUUAGAUAGAUUCUCAUAAGGAGAAACCUAGAUUCCUCUCAUGAGCAGUUCACAAUAGGGUUUGUGCUUCUAUGUCAAUCUAAUGCCUCAUCUGAUCUGACAGGAAAUCUUUACCUCCUGCUGUGUGGCUCAGUUCCUAACAGGCCACUGACAGGUACCGGUCAGUGGGUUGAGGAUAUUUGAGCUAACAGACACAAGGAGAGGUUCUUGCUGGUCAUUUCAAGCUAUUGCCUUUACAUUUCCAUGGGAUACUGCAAUCUGCUUUCUGUUUAAAAGUAGCCACUGGGGAUUAGUGAGCUCCAUUGUCUUUUGGACAGUUGAUUGGGAACCUGCAAGGCCAAAAAUGAAGAUGUCAGCAAUUCUGUGUGAUAGUUAAAGUGGAUCCAUCUAACGAUUUAUUUCUCCAAGUCUUUUAAAAGCCUUAAGUGGAGACUCAGAAGCAUGAUUUCAGUGUGAAUUAGCAUCAGGGAAAAAACAUAUUCUUCCUUUGUUUUGAUUCAUGCUAAAGGGCCUGAUUUCACAUUAGAUCAAAAAUGUCCUGAUUUUUUUUAAAGCAGUACCAAGUUUAAAUAUGCUCUCUAUUGUCUGCAUAAACUUACAAAAGUGUUCCAAAAUUUAAAUAUUUCCGUUUAUUAGCGGCAUCUUGAACUCCUUCUUAUAGGCAGAGGCAGGGCCAUUCCAUUGGGAUAAGCAAGUCACUAUGAUGAAGACAAAAUUGCAAACUGUUGUUGCAUAGACAAAUACAUCCAUUUCCAUAAUGAAAAUAAUCAGUACCAUGCUGCAUAGUAUACUUAACCGAAUUUGGUUAGACAAGUUUGAAGGUGAGUGAGAAUGAGGUUCUAUUUGACGUAGUGAAAUGGAGCCAAACAAAUCUAUUAUUCUUGCCUCUAACCUGUGGGAAGAACUUCAACUCCUCUGAGCUUUAGACUUAUGAACCUAUUUUCUUUAAUGCAGUAUUCUGCAAAUUUGCCUGGUGAUAAAAGUUACCUAUGGUAAGACUUAUGUUUUACAUUCUAUAGUUUCUCUUGAGAUCACAAACUGUCUAGGGGAAGGAUUGGGGAAGUUAGGUAUUUAAUUCCUUGAAUUAUUUUCAUAAUCUGAAAACUUGGGGACCCACAAGCCUUAUGUAAAUAUUUAGAAAUUCUGUAAUUAAUCCCUGAAAAUUCUAAGGUUCAUCAGUUUGAGAAACAUUGAUUUAAGAACCUAAACACUUAAAAUAACGAUAGGCUUAGUUAGAGAAUUUCAAGAAACAGCAUUAAUAUACUUACCUCUUAAGAAAAGACAAUGGAAAUCCCAGAAAAUCUCUCCUUUCAUGGUGAAUUCCAAUCUUUAUGGCAUUUCAUCAUGGAGGUAAAGGACACAUUCUAGCUGUAUUUUUUGUUUUUUACUAAUUCUUAGAGCCUAUUAGUACCGAAGUCUUUUUAAAGUGAAUUGUACAAUAGGCUUUGGGCUUUAUGCACAUAAGUUACUUUGUUACUGCAAUGUCUUGCUAUCCUGACUUCCUAAAAGAGCAGUGUUUGUUUUUUAUAUUACCAUCCUAACUUCAUUUACUCUGCCACCACUCAAUAUAUUAUCUAAUUUGAUAUUUAUAAAAUGUUGUAAUACAUAAGCUAUUUUAAAUUAAAUUUAUAAUGCUAAAAAAGAAACUAAAGACAUACUUUUAAAAUGUCUUCAACAUGCUAAUUAUCACUGAAAAAGAGUAGUUUUGCCUUUAAGCCUGUUAAAAUUGGUUUAAGUCUUACCUGUACAGUAAAUAGUAAAAUUUAAAAAAUUCUCAGAGAAUUCACAAACCCCUAGGAAAAUAUGGUACAAUCUUUGGCUUGAGAAACUAAAUUUGAGCCCAUAACCAAAUCAUGACAGUGGAUUUAUUGUUGCAUAAUUACUUUCAAACUUUUUAUUGUCUAAUAUCCUAAUUUCCCAUUCUAAAGAAAGCCAAGUUGUCCUAAUGAACACAAAAUUAACAUUUUGGACUAUCUAAUAUAUGUCAAUAUAUACCUAAUAUAUUUAGGUCUAGCUCCAUAUAUGUUAUCACAUAAGUUUGAUAAAAAGGUAUUUCAAUUAACUGAUUUUAUUUUUUGUGUUUUUCUCUGGGAGAAAGAGACAAGUCACUGGAAAAUGAGUAUGUGUGUAGUAGAACAACUUCUGGAGCAGUUGGAAGUCCAAAACCUCUGCCAGGCGCGGUGGCUCAUGCCUGUACUUCCAGCACUCUGGGAGGCCAAAGUGGGCGGAUCACUUGAGGUCAGGAGUUCGACACCAGCCUGACCAAAAUGGUGAAACCCCAUCUCUACUAAAAAUACAAAAGUUAGCCAGGUGUGGUGGCGGGCACCUGUAAUCCCAGCUGCUCAGGAGGCUGAGGCAGGAGGAUCACUUGAACAAUUGCAGAGAGCCAAGAUGGUGCCACUGCACUCCAGCCUGAGUGACAGAGUGAGACUCCAUCUCAAAAAAAAAAAAAGUCCUAAACCUCACUCUCCUUUGAUUUUUACACCCAAAAGGAAGGAUGAUUGUUUAUGUCCAAAGUAAAGAUUUUUUGAUUAUGAAGUUCUUAAACAUCAAGGAAAGCACCAUAUAGAAUUUAAUUGAUUGCUCUGAUCCCAUAUAUUGCUAAAAGAUUUUCAGGGAUGAUUUUACUAUUUCCUUGCAGUCUUUAAUUUUUCUAUACAUGGUUUUCAUGUAGUUUAGAUCUAUCUAGCUAGCUAGUUUUCUCUCCUACUUUCUUUGUGUCCUUUUCUCCUUUCUUACUUUACAGUGUAUUUUUCUUUUCAAGAGCACCUGUGAUUUCUGAAUCAGGUAUCUUAUGUAUUUCUGAGACUUCAGAAAAUCUAGGAUAUGGAGGAGGGGAACUGAAACUUUGACUGAAAAAUGCGAUUUUAGGCUGUUAUAAGCAAUUAAAUUACGUACUAGUUAGUUGUCUCUCCAAACAAGGUUAUGAUUAAUAAUAUUUAGCUUUCCAUUUUUAUAUAGGAUAUAAAAAAGAUGAAUUGUUCUAGGCCAUGCAGUAUGUAUUUUAUAGCAUACUCUUGAUCUUAGAUCUGUCACUAAAAAAACAAAUGAAUAUAUGUAUAAAUUAAUAUGAGUGUUAGGUCCUUGAAUAAGAAUGAGAUAUAUAUUUUCUCCCCUUUUGGCAAUCUCUAUCACAGAAAUGGGCCAAGUUGUCACCACAUUUAGUUCAUGGGAAAUUUGUUUUCUUUUGAAAGUGCUACUCUAGUUUUGUCGUAUGAAAUAACAACAAUUUGUAUUUAAUUAGUCUAGUACUUCAGAAUAGGCCUUCAACUGUUUCAACUAUUUGGAAAAGUCACUCUAAUUUUUGUUAUCCCAGAAAAUCUUUGUAUUCUAUUAAGAACUAAAAUAUAAUUUGCCAGUCCUUUUAUUAUUACUAUUGUUUUUUUAAAACUGCAAGAUAUGGUCAUGAGUAUCUGGAAAUGGCUCAGAAAAUUAAAAAUUAUAGCUAAUAAUAUUGCAUUAUUUCUCACAUGGUUACAUUAAGAACUCACAUGAUACUAGGUGCCACAAGUUUUACAGAAAAAAAAGGCCCCUAAAACAAAUUUGAAAGAGCAGUUUCUCAGUGAUUAUUAAAAGAAUAAUACACUUAAAAAUAAUUGUGUAAUGAUAAUUUUUAAAUAUAAAAGUGAUAUUUAACAAAUUCAGCUAAAUCACAGUUCUAUGAAUAAUUUAUUUCCUAUGUGAAUUCAUUAAACAUAUAACUCAAUACUCAUUUAGUCCUUGCUUAGCUAAGUUGACCAAAUUCUCAUGUAGCAAUAUUAGAAAUGGCUUUUUGUUAUUUGGUAGUUUGGCAUUUAGAAAAAAAAUUUCAAAGUAACACUUUUCAUGCUAUCUACUGGCCACUCCAUGCUGGAUUUCAAGAAAAAAAGACAAGAUUUCCAUACUUGACCUCUUUUUUUUAAAUAUAUGUCAGCUUUGGAUUAUUUACUCUAUCAACAAAAAUAUCCAAAAUCAUAGGUAAUUUAAAAUAUUCGAAUAUUUGGUUUUUGAAUCUGCAGCUUCACUUUGUGAAGUUACUUCCCAGAUCUUCCCAGAUCAGAAAAUGCCAUCCUGUGGAGAUCUGAAUUAAAAAAAGGAAGAAAGUUAUACAGUUUCUCAUUUUUAAAACAUUCAUGUUUUGUUAUAGAAAAUUUGGAAAAUAUAAAAAGAAGAAUUAAGAGAAAAAAGUACUGUCAAUUUUACUAUUCAAAGUCAGAAGCAUUUAAUCUUCAGUACAUGUUCUUCUAACAUAUUAUCUAAGUCUACCUUUAAAGACUUUUAGAGUUGGGUGUAAGCAAUAUGAAACUCUGCUUUUCUUCCCAGCACACACCAUAUUUUCCCCAUAUUGUUAUACAUUUCUCACAUAUAUCAUUUUAAAUAUCUGCAAAAUAUUUCAUUGGGUUGAUGUCCCACAAUUCAUUUAAUCUUUCCUCUAUGCUGGACAAUGAAAGGACCUGUAAUAUUAUAUUAUUUUUUAUACAGCUUUGCUAUUCUGUCAUUGACUUGUUGCAUUUCUCUGUGACUCUAUAUGUUAUUCAUGAGAGUUCAAGUCCUUGGGAAGAUAGAGCUAUCAAUAAAUUUUAAAAUGAGAUUUUUCUCAAUUAAAGUCAAGUGGAGUUAUCAGGUGAUGAUAAUGGAAAUUGCUUAUUCUUAUUGAAAGAUAAUAUUCGAUAUAAUUGAAUUAUUACUGUAAAGGUUGGUAUAUCAAUAACCAAUCUCAAAAUCAGUGUCUUGAAAAUUAUGUAUAAAGCAAUAUAACCUUAACUGAAUGGCAAAAAUUAUAUGUACCUAGUAGAUGUCCUAAUUUGAAUUAUAUAUGAUUAUAUUUUAUCUAAAUGCUUGAGGUUGAAUAUUGUCAUGUUGGGUAUUAAACAAAUCCCAGCCAAAAAUAAUAGUCGGAACCAAUUUCUGUACCUCAUAGACUCUGUAAUGUCUAUGAUCAGACUGGGAUGCAGUGGGGAUGGACAGUAGACUGUGCAUUUUCUUAUGUGUCUGGGGUGCUGAAUCCAAGAGAGGUUACACUGUUAUCUGUUGAAAUAACAGCUGGAAACAGAGAAAGGGUUAUUGAUCCUUUCAUCAAUAAAUCACGUGUAAACAAUGUAAGCUCCUUGAACUGAGAGGGGAAGAUUAUGAUAUCUAAUUUCCAGCUUACCUCCUCAAGGAGAGCGGGAUCAUUCACUAAAUAUGUGCAAAGGAAGUUUCAAUUCUGAGCUGACUUCCAACAUUUUUUUCAGGGAAAAUAUUAUCUCUAUUGUUUUAUGUCUAUGACAAACAGCCUUUACUGUAGCUCUUCCUUUUAAUUUCUCUUUCUCUUGUUCCUUCUCUUCUUCUGCCAGCUUCUUCUCUUCUUUCACCUUCUAUGCCUCAUUUUCCUUAUCUUCUUCCUUUAUUGAACAUGACUUUCUUUGAGAGACUCCAAUGAGAGUUUCUUAAAAAUAAAACCCAGUUCUUAAAAGGCAAAAAAAAAAAAAACCCCUCAAAACUUCCUCCUGUACCAUUUUUCUUGACAAUGGAAAUUGAAUACAUCUAUAUUAGUCCAUUCUCAUGCUGCUAAUAAAGACAUACUUGAGACUGGGUAAUUUAUAAAGGAAAGAGGUUUAAUUGACUCACAAUUUCACAUAGCUGGAGAGGUCUCACAGUCAUGGUGGAAGGUGAAUGAGGAGAAAAGUCACAUCUUACAUGGUGGCAGGAAAGAGAGCUUGUGCAGGGAAACUCCCAUUUAUAAAACCAUCAGAUCUCCUGAAACUUAUUCGCUACAUCAAGAACACUAUUGGGAAACUGCCCAAAUGAUUCCAUUGUCUCCCACUGGGCCCCUCCCAUGACAUGUGGGGAUUAUGGGAACUACAAUUUAAGAUGAGAUUUGGGUGGGGACACAGCCAAACCAUAUCAACAUCUAAGGCAUGUCCUACUGGGCAAAAGACUUCUGUCAGCACUGGGUCUCUGGUAGUAUUAGAAUUGCUAGACCUGGCCAGUGGAUAGAACUACUAUGAUAGGUGAGAGAUCCAAGACUGAUUUGAGCAGUAGCCAAAAAGAAGAGGGAUGGGCAUUGCAGGUUGUUGAGGAGGAUCAGCCUGUUUUGUAAAUGCAGCAGGUGAUUCAACCAAAAGUCACUGAAUACUUGAUACCAUCUAAAGAUUUCACUAAAUGAUGGGCCAUAGUUUUUGACAAGUUAGCAAGGCACAGAGAAAAGGAAUUUAAGAACAGGUAUUAAUAGAGUAAAAAUCACAAGGACUGACGUUCAGCCUUAAGGCGCCUGCAUACAGAGAAAGAGAGUGAGGAGCAAAGCAAUCACAAGUUUAGAUGAAAAUGCACUUAUGGAUGUAUUUAUUUCCCAGUACUUUUGUGCUGAUUACACCAUAAUUGCAUAAUGUUUUAUUACCUAUUUAGAGUUUUCAGAAGAUUUUGAUGACAGAAAUAUGUCAUUAUUUAUGUCUAAUUAACUAUACUAUCAUUGCUUGGGAUCUCAAUAUAAUUAAAAUGAAAAUCUAAUCAGAAAUGAAUGUGUGCACACUGACUUGGUAAAAUAUUUUUGUGUAAAUGUAAUAAACAAGUCACAGUUAACUCAGGAUGUAUUUGUGUUCCUCUGUACCAAAGUAAUAAGAAAAAAAAAUAAGCAGGUAGCAAGCUUCAGAUAGAUUCUUUUGUAUCGUCAGUUAAUUUCAAAAUGUGAUUAUAUUUGCAAGUGAAAAUAAGUUAAAUAUCAGAGAGUGAUUAGACUACAUCUAGUUAUGCAUCUUUUGGUUAUCCAAGAAUGAGCUGUGAAAGGUAUGCUACUUGAAUGAUGCACUGAGCAUUUACUUUAGUACUAUUCUAAUGUGUAAUUAUAGAUAGUUACAUCCCAAGACAAGUUGUUGUCUUUUUGAAAAGAAAUCAAUCAAGUACCAACGCAUCAAUAUCAAGAGUAUUGUACCCUUCAUCAAAAUGAGCCAUUGCCUAAAGAAGAUAGGUAUUGGUAGUGAAUUUAUUUUAUCAUUUAGAUGAUCUUGAAGAAUCUUGGUUAUUUUGAUAACACACUUUAUUUUACUCAAUCAUAUACUGACUAUAGUGAGGAAUCUAAACGUUCUUGGGAGAAUUGGCGUUAGGAUGUGGAGGGCUAGAAAGAGCUGGAUGUUUCUUACCAUCAUAAUUGACAUACGCCCUUCAUUUCUUAGAAUAGGAAUUAGAAUAGAAUGUUACUGAUAUUUCAGACUAAGGAUUUUAUCAUAAUAGUGCUUAGUCUGUUAUGAGAAUUUUCUUCCUGCAGGAUAUUCUCCUCAUCCCUAUCUUCAAAACAGAAGUAGAUUCCUCUCAGUGUUCAAAAGUCAGUAUUUUUUAAUGGAGGAAAAUAAAAAUUAUCAGUCGUCAUCAAAAAGAGCAGCAUUACAUAUCUGUACAGUUUUUGUUUUAUGUUUGGGUUGAAUAAAGAAAAGAUCAAGCCAGGGUCUUUCCUUUGAUAAUUUAUAACUUAGGGCAUCUUUUGAUAGUGUAGCUAUAUACUGAAAAUGUUUCAUGCAGGUUGAAACAAUUAUCUAUGGGGUGUAGAAUUUUCAAUUACAUGUCUACAUAAUUGAGUUUGUUAAUUGUGUUCUUUAAAUAUUGUCAUUAGUAAUGUUUUGACUUCCUAAUCUGUCCAUUUAUAAAAAAUAUAAUUAUACUUCCAAUUAUAAUUGUAAGUUCUAUCAAUUUCUUGUAAUUCCAUAAUUGUUACUUUAUGUAUUUUGAGUCAAUUCUUUCAUGUGUUUACAUGUAAAUGAUUAUUUUAUUUUCUUAGUGUUCUUUUAUUUUCAUUAUAUGAUGUCCUCCUUAUUAACAAAUUUGCUUAUAAUUCAAUUUUUAUUAUUCAUUAUUAUUGGUUACUAGUUAUUGUAGUCCUGGAGAAUCUUUGUCAAUCUCUUCAUGUUAAAUUUCCCAUGUCAUUUUUAGGGUGUGUUUUUUGGAGCCAGCAUCUAGCUAGAUUGUGUUUGCUUAUUGUGUUUACUGGUUUAUCUUUUUAUUAUGUAUGUCAUUUUGUUUUAUGUUUUUACUUUAUUCUUUCUUUCCAAGGAUUACUGUUAGACGUAUGCUAGAACUUCUCAAGGUAUUGUUUUUGACUUGUUUUUUAAGAUUUCUAUUUUAUCUUUUUGGCCUAUAUUCUAGAUGAUUUUUUUCUAUAUCAUCUUUGAGUUUACUAAUUUUUUCUUCACAAUACUUCAGAUUGGAGUUUGUCUCAUACUUAUGUUCUCAAUUUCAGUGAAUUAAUUUUAUCAUUUCUUAGGAUUUCCAGUUUGUUCUUUAAAUUUAUCCAUUCUUGAAUCAUUACUUAAAGUUGAUUUUAUAAUUUAUUGUUCUGUUUUAAUGAAUGCUUUCUUUCAAUUUUGCUCUGUAAGAAUGUUAAACAUACUUAUUUUAAAA
rnacentral:lncRNA from 10 species